rnacentral:rRNA from 1 species
UACGUAGGGGGCAAGCGUUGUUCGGAAUUACUGGGCGUAAAGGGCGCGUAGGCGGCACGGCAAGUCAGGAGUGAAAGCCCGGGGCUCAACCCCGGAAUGUCUUUUGAAACUGCCGAGCUAGAGUACGGAAGAGGCAACUGGAAUUCCCAGUGUAGCGGUGAAAUGCGUAGAUAUUGGGAAGAACACCGGAGGCGAAGGCGGGUUGCUGGGCCGAUACUGACGCUGAGGCGCGAAAGCCAGGGGAGCAAACGGG